CCUUUCUAUCCAAACCUUCCAAUUUCCCUGAAAUUUAUUCAUUAGAUAUGCAUUUCUUAGUCUUCUGGAUCUUUUCUCAGAAAUCCACCGUUAGGGGUACAAAUACUACUUAAGGAGCCGGUUUUACAUACUUUACAUUUUCCUCGACAUCCCGAGUAAGCCCGCCAGAGGUCAGACGGGGAACAGGUGAGGUCAGAAAAUGGGAGAAGGUGGAAAAAAAAAUGUUUAUCUUUUAGGUGGAAAAACAAUGUUUAUCUUUUCAGCAUGUUCUAGUUCUCUUGCCCCAGCAUAAUAAUGUGUACUUGCCAUUUUCAAAGAAAGGAAACAGGAAAUGCCCAUUUCUGGACCUGUAACUACUCCCGUACUCAUGAAACACCGGCUUAUUACUGAGAAAAACGGCCACCCAUAAUUCAAUUUAAGACCUUUAUUGAAUGGAGGAAUCUAGAGAUAAUACCCAAAAGGCAGUAAAGUGCCUUACUGGUCAGCUGAGUGGCGGACAUGAAGAUGUGCCCGUCUCUGAUGACAUCUGUGCCAGUGAGAUAGUAAGAGUUUCACUCAAAAUCUGAAAGAACCACGUGCACUUUUAAAGCCAAAGCUUUGGAAGCACAUGUAUUUCUCCAGAAUUAUUGUCCCCUGCUCCAGAGGUAGGCAGCCUCUAACAUAGGGAAGUACCUAUCUGAUAAUGAUAGCUUCGAUUAUGUUUUACAUAGAACGUUUUCUGUAUACACACACACAUAUACACGCACACACACACAUAUGUGAAUCUAACACACAUACACACAUAUGCAUGCACACAUAUAUACAUACGUAUCUAACACACAUACAUACAUACACACAUAUACAGGCACACACACAUAUAUACAUAUGUAUCUAACAUAUAUACGUACAUGUCUAUAUAUACACACACACAUACACACACGUAUUCCCCACCCCACCACCAUAGUUUGAACAACUCUUAAAACAGCAUACUUUUUCUAAUUUUCUCUUAGGGAAUGCAACUGUUCUCCUUGUCCCUCCUCCCCAUUUCCCCACAGACUUGCACCCAAUAUGCUUCUCUUCUCCAGUGUCCAGAGGUAGCAGUGUUCACUGAGUUUUGCAAUCCACAUUAUGAUGGCUGUAUUCACUCUUACUAGAGAAACACACAUUUGAUGCUGGGAAUGAUACUGACUCUAGAUGCAGCAAACAUCAUUGUCACAGUUAUUAGAUGGAGAAAAGAUGAAACCAGGAAUUGAUUUCAUCAUCAUAGUAAAGAACUGACUAUUGUAUAAUGUCUAUUUUCUGGAAACAUCAUCUGUUUCAAUGAUUGUGUUUAUGUUUGUACCCACAGCCUAAGGCCUGAUUCAUAGAAAUUUAAAAAUAUGUGUAGGAUGAAUUAAAAUUACGAAUACAUAAACAGGGUGGAUAGCCUAUUUCUUUGUUAAGGUCACUGAAUCAGAAGGAAAAUGAUAUUAAACAUAGGUAGUUAAGGGAUAACUUAAUGUUUUCAGAGGUUAUUGUCAGAAAUACCAAAAAUAUACUAUCUUUAUGUAGAAUAUAAAAAUGUAUAACUGCACCGAAUUGAUUAAAUUUAUUUAAAAAUAUGAUUUAAUUUCUUACUAAAGGGAUGGAAAAUAAAAGGACAUAGAAAGGUUCUGCAGGGGACAGAGGGAUGAAAGUUGUGACUGUAAGGGAAGGAAGCUGCAAUGCUGGUAGAGGAGGGGCACGAUAAGAAGAUAAGAAACAUGGAGAGAAAGAAAAGUAUGAGAAUCCCUUGAUUUCUGGCCAAGAACAUCAGCAGUCAUCAGAAAAUCCCUCUUAAACCCUGCUUAAUAUCCUGAAUUUGUGAAAAUUUGCCUAAACAGUUAAGUUGUUUGUGUUACCACUGAUAGAGCUACGUCAUACAGGAGAGUGAAACCAAACCAAUAAUUCUCACUUCCACAGUCAAGAACUUCACUUUUCCCACUUUUUCAUAAAAGGCACACUGAGUCAUGAAUGUAUAUGGUACAAUAAUUUUAGUUCAAUUUUUUAAAAUUUAUGAAUGCAUGUUGGCAAGUCACAUAACUCCAUCUUGUCCAGAGUCCCUACUUGUAAUUUGCAACCGGUGAUCUAUUUAUUUGUGUUUUCGUGUACAUAUGUAUGUGUAUGCAGACAUAUUAUCAACAUCUAACCGAAGGCACUGCAGUGUGUACAUCUAGGUUACACAUAUGGAAACUGAAGCUCAAAAAUAAAAAUAAAAAAUCUGUAUUAUUUGUCCCUGCUGGUAAAAAAUAUGUAAGCAUUGCAAUUUUGAAUACCUAGGGUUAAUACUAAACCAUUUGCACGUUAGAAAAUGACUACCAAAAAAAAAAAUCAUUUAAAAAGGUGUUCUUGGCUGGGCACGGUGGCUCAAGCCUGUAAUCCCAACACUUUGGGAGGCUGAGGAGGGCGAAUCACGAGAUCAGGAGAUUGAGAUCAUUCUGGCUAACACGGUGAAACCCCGUCUCUACUAAAAAUACAAAAAAAAUUAGCUGGUCCUGGUGGCCGGCGCCUGUAGUCCCAGUUACUCGGGUUGCAGUGAGCCGAGAUCACGCCACUGCAGUCCAGCCUGGGGGACAGAGUGAGACUCCGUCUCAAAAACAAACAAACAAAAAACAAAACAAAAAAAUGAUGUUCUUGAUCUGUAAUGUGUUUCGUCUCUUGCUUCUCCAAAUUCUUCAGCAUUUAUCAUUAUGGUGAAUCUAAAAAAAAAAUCACUAACAUAAUAUACUCAUUUUUGAUACAUAUUUCCACUUUAUAAAACAUAGAUUUUCUAACUCUCCUAUGUUCACUUUGCUUGUUAGAGUAUACCCUCCACCACCAUCCCCAUCUCAGCUUUUUUUUUUCCUACAUCUGACAUAUCCAGUAUGUACGUUCAGGACAUUGGAACAAAGACAGGAAGACUUUAGACAAGCUCUUCAAUUAUAUCUGAAGUCAGGGAGAAAGAAGGGCAGUAGAUUAGCUGUUAGGGAAUUUAAGGUUGUAGAAAUUCUGGGCAGUGAAAAAGUUAAUUUGCCAGAGGGACAGCACCAUUUUCCUUUAUCUGUGUGAAGACAAAUAGAAUCUGUGUGCCAAGUGUGACUGUCACCAAUCUCUUCCUUCCUAUCCCACGAAAGGGCCUCAUUUGAUUCUUUCUUAUUUUCUUCCUUCCAAUGCAGGAUCCUUGCAAAUCCUGUUCCCUGUGCUAAGACCGCACCAAUUUCCUCCACUAUUCAGCUAAGGUAACUCUUAUUCAUCUCCAAGCUCCAGAGACACAAGACCAUCACACAAUUAAAUGUAUUCAAAAGUUCCUGUAGCUUGCCAGGAUAAAGUCCAAAAUCCUUAACAUGGACAACAACAACAAAGAUCUUGUGUGAUCUAACUUCACACAGCUCUGGUGUCAUAGGCGAUACUCCAUGAAUGCCUGUGGAAUGGAUAACCAAAUGAAGGGAGUUUACCAGUGGAACAGAUCAGAUUCAGAUUUGAUGAGCAGCAAAUCAAUGAAACAGACACAUCACCACAGUUGAAAAUGGAAGAUGGAGAAAAAUUGAUAUAAUAGAGGACAGUAUAGAAUACCAAAAAAAUUGACCUGAGACUUCAUAAUUCUGUUCCUGUAAACAAGGGCCUUCAGGUUUUAAAUAACAUACUAGACAUUGUUAUUCCUUCUGUGUAGCAGAUACAAGAGGCAAUAUUUUCACUUUUAUGUUGGAGGUGAUGUCGUGGCAUACCUCGGACCACUGGAGCUAACUGAAUGUUACAUCCUGAAUCUUCGUAAGGUUUCUCUCCCAUCCUCUGGAGUGCCUGUGUCUUACUGAGCCUACAGCAGUACAAGCUAGAAGCCAACUCUUGCUCAUCUUGCCUGCUCAACAUGAUGUCAUCAAUGCAGUGGAUUAAAGUGAAGUACCACGUGAUGUCCAGAUGGCCUGGACUCUUCAGAUUUUAUUAUGAUGGCGUGCAUGAACACUGAUACAGCUCCAGGGAAAAACUCUGAGUAAUUCUGUUGUCCAUUGCACAUGAAAGUUAACUUUCUGAUUAUUUCUUUUGAUUCUAAUAGAAAAACAUGUAUUCAAUCAGGUAAUGAUCACAUACCACAUACCUGAGGCUUUGCUAAUCUGCUUCAGCCAUGCUACAAAAUCCUGCAAUCAGGAUUACUAUUUGAUUGAGCUGGCAGUAAUCAUUUUUGUGGAUCAUCUGGAUUCUUCUUCUGAGAAACAACUUGUGAAUCAAAUUUCCAACUGUAUCACUCACCCAUGCAUGCAUCCUGAAACUUUAAUAGUAGCAUUACUAUCUGCCAUACACACACACACACACCAAACACGCACAUGCUUAAUGAGGUGGGAUUUUGUUUUUGAUCUACAUAAAAUGUUGGCAACUGGGAGGUUUCAGAGGAUUUCACCUGUCUUCCUCAUUGAAAUAUUAGGGCCCUAUUAUGGGUGUUAUUCCAAAUGUCUAAUAUGUAAGCAUAAAUUUCAUACUUGGGAAUCAGAGAAUUAAGUUGACAAGCACGUGGGUGGUCAGAGAGUGGAUCCAUUAUAGGCCAGAAUUUAACCGGCACUCUAUCAAUUACCUGGUUCCGUAUGCAUCCACUCUAACCAGAGAACAAUGGUUUGCAUCACAUCAAUGUCAACUUAGAUAUGUGUCCCUUAGUUCACGCAUGGUCUGGAUGUUCCCUUUUUCUCAAUGUGCAGAAACUGACAUAGUUUCUUUGAGUAAGGAAAAUAAUUCCAAUAUAUAUUUGUUGGGGUGCGGCAGAGUUCUUCCACCUAGAGACCUAGAUAUCGCUUUAGUUCAUGAGUUCCAGAUUUAAAACUGGGCUGUUUCUCAAAUGGAGCAAGGGACAUAGCUGGCUACCUAAUUAAUGGGUCUCAUAAUUAAUGGGUCUCAAUGGAAAUCAAAUUGUGAGGUCCCUUAUUGAAAAAGCAGAAAACAGAGCUGUUGACAGUAGUGCUAUACUAAUACCUGGGGCUGUUUCCUUUCUUUUGCUGUGUCUCAUUAUUUGUCAUGACACUUUAUAUUUGUUACCUGAUGUUUUCCAAGAAAAACAAUUAAUUUAAAAUAUUUUUAAAAAAUAAUUAUUUUGAAAUAUUUUCUAAAAAAUAGAAGUAGAAAAUAUGAAACUUGGAGAUCUACCUGAAGUAGCAAAGUUGGAAAUCAGUGGUGAUGAGUUCCUCAAUUUUCUUCUGAAACUACUGUGGCUAUUUAAUAAUAAAAAUGAUGCAGAGUAUCUUUACUGAGUUAUCUAAAAUUAUCAUAUUAUUAGAAUGGCUUUCUCCUCAGAGUUUUACUUUAAUUUGUGAAGAAAUAGCUAGUACUGUUGAAGAUUUCAGAGAAGGCUUCAGAAGUUUCAAAAGAGGCAGGGAGCGGUGGCUCUCACCUCUAAUCCCAACUCUUUCGGAGGACGAGAAGGGUGGAUCAUUUGAGGUCAGGAGUUCUAGACCAGCCUGGCCAAUGUGGUGAAACCCCAUCUCUACUAAAAAUAUAAAAUUAGCCAGGCAUGGUGGUGCACGCCUGUAAUCCCAGCACUCAGGAGGCCGAGGCAGGAGAAUCAUGAAUCAUUUGAACCCGGGAGGUGGAGGUUGCAGUGAACCGAGAUUGCAACACUGCACUCGAGCCUGGGAAAACAGUGAGACUCUGUCUCAAAAAAAAAAAAAAAAAAAAAAAAAAAAAAAGAAGAAGAAUAAGUUGCAAAAGAAACAGAAAAACUGGUUGAAUUCAUAAAUUCAUACACCGUCAAUGGAAGAUGUAUCUACAUGGAAUUGUGGAAUUUUGAAGAAAACAGCUGUUACAGUGCUCCAUAUGGAUUUGAGAUUUUUUGUUUCAUCUGCAUACUGACUUUACAGAGAAAAUAAUUCCAAUAUUUUUUCUGAGCAAUGUAUGUAUGUAUUUUGUCAUCCUAAACUAUUUUUGAAAAGUUAUCUUUAACAUUUUGGCACAAUAUAACAAUAUUUUUUGCAAAUACUCCAUAGAAAAAAAUAUGAUAGCAUAAGCCAGAGGCUUUUCUCGUAUAAAGGGGUUUGUCUGAGUUAUAAAUAUAAUGCAAUUGUAUUUAUGUUGAUUUUUAUCAAGGAAUAAUUAUAAAUAUUUUUAAAUAAAAAAUAAAAAUAAUUGACUGGGCAUAGUGGCUGACGUCUGUAGUCCCAGCAGUUUUGUAGGCUGAGACAGGUGGAUCACCUGAGGUCAGGAGUUUGAGACCAGCCUGGGCAACAUGGCAAAACCCCAUCUCUACUAAAAAUACAAAAAUUAGCUAAGCACAGCUGCAUGAACUUCUAGUCCCAGUUACUUGGGAGGCUAAGGUGGGAGGAUCACAUGAGCCCUGGAGGCAUAGGCUGUGGUGAGCUGAGAUUAUGCCACUGCACUCCAGCCUGGGCAACAGAGUGAGACCCUUUCUCAAACAAUAAUAAUAAUAAUAAAUUUUCUGCAUGGAUGUUAUAAUGUAAUGUGCCUUUGUAUUGUACUAUGUGAUUUUUAAUUGCAAAGAAUGAGAGCAUUUCAUUGAUAUAAGAAAUCACUGAAAUUACUCAAUUUGUAUUUUAUAACUCUGACAUGGCUCUGUAUUUCAUUCUUAAAAGAACAGUGGAAACACUGCACAAAUGUAACUCUCUCUCUUAAUACAUUCACAUUCUACCAACGCUCUGUAAGAUGUGCACUUUAUACUCACUUUGAGUCUCCCACACAGUGUGGGUGCACUGGAGUUCUAUGCUCGGGGGCAUCAUGAACUUUGUAUGUGAGUGAGGUGGCAAGGACUUGUAGGAGAUGUGCACACUGCAUAAACCUCCUUUUCUCAGGCACAAGCUUGAUUGGCCCAUUAGACUUCACUUACAAAAUACAAGUUCAAAGGAAAAGUUGGCAAUAAUUUUAAGGUGUAAAUAGCGGAGCAUUAAAUUAAAUGUGAGGCCAUUUUGAGCAUGGGACCCUGUGUGACUACACUGGUAACACACUCAAGAAUCCAGUCUUGGUCUUGAAACAGAAUUUUUAAUUUGUAUGAAUUAGCUGGCAUCAGGCUUCUCCUCCUCCUCUUUUGUCCCUACAGGUGCUAUGUUCAGUUAAAUACUACAGGGAACAACUCUCUGCAGGCCUAGCCCCACAACUAUCGGCUCCUGCCCCUACAUUGUCCCUAUGACUUGGGAGUCCCAUCACCCCCACAGUGUCACCAUUUCUCUUAAACAGCCUGAAAUUCCCAAAAGAGCAUUUUACCAUUCAACAUUGCACUUCCUAGAAACUGAACUAAACCUAACUUUAUUUUCCUUAAAAAGUAGUUAUUUCACCGAGAUUCCAAAUUUAUUUGUAUGGAACUCUGCUGGUCUUUGCUAGUGUCAUGUGGCUAUUGAGGACUUGAAAUGUGGCUCAUCUAACUUGAGAUUUGCUGUAAGUGUAAAAUAAGCACUAAAUUUGUAACAUAGAUGCUCUUCAACUUAUGAUGGAGUUUGCAGAGCCUUAGCAACCUUUGGGACUAUAACAAAGAUUUAACAUUUAUGUCAUAGGAGUCUUAAAAAGAGAUGAGAAAGAGAGUAAGGCUGAAAAAGGAUUCAAAAAAUUAAUAGCUGGGAACUUCAAAUUUUGGCAAAAGAUGUAAAUAUACUGAUACAAGAGUAAGGGAAUCCAAAAAAGGAUGAAUUCAAAGAAAUAUACAACAAGGCACAUCAUAAUUAAACUUCUGAAAACUAAAGAUAAAGAUAAAUGUUGAAAACAUCUAGAGAAAAAGGACACCUUACCUAUAGGACAAAAAAAAAAAAAUUCAAAUGACAGCAGGUUUUUCAAAUCACAAAGGACAUGGCACACCAUAUUUCUGGCAUGCCAGAAGGACAUGGCACACCAUUUUUCACAUUCUGAAAGAAAAAGAUUGUUACUCUAUAAUCUCAUAUCCAGCAAAAUUAUUCUUUCUGGUAAGACAAGGAAAUUAAGACAUGCUCAGAUAAAGGAAAACUAAGAGAAUCUGUUGCCAGCAGUCUUACUCUAGAAGAAUGGCUUACUGGAGUUCUCUAAAUAGAGAAAGCCAAAAGAAAAGGAACUUGAGAACAUUGAGGAGAAAGAAAGAACACGCUAAGCAAAACCAUGAGUAAAUAUAACACACUUUUCUUCUCUAGAGUUUUCUAAAUUAGUCUGAAGCUGAAGCAAAAAUUAUAAUACUUAACACUGUCUGAUGUAUUUCUAAAUAUAUAUAGAAGAAACAUUUAAAAUAAUUAUAAGUGGUGAAGGGUAAAGAGAUGUAAAAGGAGGUGAGGUUUCUAUAUUUUACUCAAACUGGUAAAAAAAAUAUCAGUAGACUGGGAUAAGUUCUGUAUGCAUAACUAAAUUAAAAAGCUAUAUAAAAACACAUACUCAAAAAUACUAUGGAUAAGUAAAAAUGAAAUUGUAAAAUAUGUUUAAGUAACCCAUAGAAUGGUAUACCCACAAAAAAAAACCAGGAUAUAAACAGUGGUAAUAAACAUAAAACCAAAAAAUGAAAUAAAAUGGCAGACAAGUGCUAACAUAUCAAUAAUAAAAUUAAAUGUAAAUGGUCUAAACAUCCUAAUUAAAAAACACAGAUUUUCAAAAUGGAUUAAAAGACGUCUCAACUAUAUGUUGUCUAUAAAACUCAUUUAAAAUAUAAAAACCUAUAUAAGUUGAAAAUAAAAAAUGGAAAAGAUAAAUCAUGCUACAGUUAGGCUGAAAUAUGUCCCCCAAAGAUAACAGGUGGUAAUUCCUGGAAUCUAUGAUACCUGAUUUGGGAAAGAGGUCUUUGAUGUAAUGGUAAAGGAAGGAUCUUGAGAGGAGGAGCUUAUCUCAAAUUAUGUAGAUGUGCCCUAAAUGCCAUCAUAAGUGUCCUUAUGAGAAAAAGGAGCAGAGAGAUUAAACAAACAGAAGAGGAGGUAACAUGAUCUUUGAAGCAGAGAUUGCAGUGAUGUAACCAUUGGAUGCUGGAAGAGGCAAGGAACAGACUCUCCCCUAGAGAGAAUGUACCACUGCCAACACCAUAAUUCCAGACUUUUGGCCUCCAGAACUGUGUGAGAGAAAUUUCUGUUAUUUUAAGCCACCAGUUUGUGUUAAUUUGUUAAAGCUGCCACAGAAAAUGAAUACACAUGUCAACAUUAGUAAAAAGAAAACGGGAAUGACUUUAUUAAUAUCAUAUAGAAUAUAUUCAGAGCUAAGAAUAUGACCAGGGAGAGAACAGGACAAUAUAGAAUGUUAAAAAGCAAGCCAUCAAGAAAACAUAGCAAUUCUAAAUCUGUAUUACCCAAACAAGAGGCCUACAAAAUGUGUGAAGCAAAAAUGAAUAGAAGAAAAAAAAUAGUCAAAUCAGGUAUUAUAUCUGGAAACUUAACACUCACUCUCAGCAAUGGAUAGAACAAUUAGAAAAUAGACAAAAAUGUAAAAGGACUAAACAAUACUAUUAGGAGGACUUAAUCAACAGUUACAGAAAACUCUGCUCAAGCACAGUAGAAUACACGUGACUGUCAAAUGUCUGCAGAAAGUGUACUAAUAUUGGCCCAGCCAUCAAACAAAUCUCAACAAAUUUAAAACAUAUGCUGUGUCCUCCAAACACAAUGGAUUUAAAUUAAAAAAUCAAUAAGAGAAAGAUAAUAGAAAAAUCUCCGAGUACAUAAACUAAACAACAGACUUUAAAAAAAAAUCCAUGGGUAAGGUAAAAGUCUUGUACAUGUACCCACUGAAUCUAAAAUAAAACUUUAAAAAAAAAUCCAUGGUUAAAAGAAAAAUUUUGAAGAAAAAUUUAAAAAAUACAUUUAAUCCAAUAAAAAUUCAACAUACUAAAAUUGGGCAGAUACAACCAAGGCAGUGCUGAAAUGGAAAUUGAAAAAACUAAGUGCAUACAUUAGAAAAUAGGAAAAAGUCUCAAAUCAGUAAUCUAAGCUUCAACCUCACAAGACUGGAAACAAAGAGCAAAAUUAUUGCAAAUCAAGGAGGAGGAAGGAAAUAAAUGUAAGAGCAGAAAUUAAUGAAAUUUAAAAUAAGAAAAUAACAGGUAAUAGCAAUCAAACAGAAAAAGCUGGUUAUUUUAAAAGUUCUGUAAAACUGAAAAUCCUCUAAUAAGACAGAUAAAGAAUAAAAGAGACAAGAAAUAAAUUGUCGAUAUCAAGUCUGAUAUAGGUCUACUGACCCUGCAAACAUCAAAAUGAUAAUAAGGAAAUAAUACAGACAUCUCCACACACAUAAAUUUGACAACUAAAUAAAAUAGCCUGAUUUCAAAAAUAAAAAAUCACAUCUUACCUCAUGUGGAAUAGUUAAUUUGAAGCCACAUAACUCAAGGAAUAUGUAACUUUGAAAUCCUAAAAAUGAAAUCUCUUAGCCCAGAUAGUUUUACUUUUGAAUUAAUUUGAAGCCACAUAACUCAAGGAAUUUGAAUAUGUAACUUUGAAAUCCUAAAAAUGAAAUCUCUUAGCCCAGAUAGUUUUACUUUUGAAUUAUAUCAGACCUUUAACAUUUCUAUACACUGUCAUCCAGCAAAGAGAAUAUAAGGGAACACUUCCCAAUUUAUCUUAUGAAACUAGUAUUACCCUGAUAACAAACUAGACAAAGUCAGUACCAAAAAAAAAGUAAGGAAGAAAGAAAACUACCAAAUAUUAACUUUCAUGAAUAUAGACAGAAAAAUCCUUAACAGGAUAUUAUCACAUACAAUUCUUCACCUCACUAAUCAAAUGGAUGCAUUCCAGCCAGGGAUGUAGUUUGGUUUAAUGUUUGACUAUCAAUCAAUAUUAUUCACCAUGUUGAGAGGAUAAGGAAGAUCCUAUCAAUCAAUGUAGAGAAGGCAUUUGACAAAAUUCAACACCCAUUCAUGAUGAAAACUCUCAGAAAACUACUAAUAAACAACAAUAAGCACAUAGGGAAAAUCUACAAGUAACAUUGUACUUAACGAGGCAAGAUUGAAUAUUUUCCUCCUACAAUUGGGAAUAGGACAAAAACAUUCACUCUCAGCACUGUCAUCCAACAUAGUGCUGGAACUUCUAGCCAGUAGAAGAAAACAAAAUAAGUGGCCCGAGUGUGGUGGUUCAUGCCUGUAAUCCCAGCACUUUGGGAGGCCGAGGUGCAUGGAUCACGAGGUCAGGAGUUCGAGACCAGCCUAACCAACAUGGUGAAACCUGUCUCUACUAAAAAUACAAAAAUUAGCCCGGCAUGGUGGUGGGUAUGUGUAGUCCCAGCUACUUGGGAGGCUGAGGCAGGAGAAUUACUUGAACCUGGAAGGCAGAGGUUGCAGUAACCUAAGAUGGCACCACUGCACUCCUGCCUGGACAACAGAGUGGGACUCCCUCUCAAAAAAUAAGUAAAUAAAUAAAUAAAUAAAAGCAUACAGAUAGGAGAAGAAGAAAUAAAACUGCCUUUAUUUACAAAUGAAAUGGUUGUCUAUGUAGAAGAUACAAAGGAAUUUAAAAAAAAAAAUAGAAGUAACAAGUGAACUCAGCAAAGUCACAGAAUAUAAGCUAAACAUUUUUUAAUCAUGUUUUUAUAUACUAGCAAGGAGAACAUGAAGCCUGGAAUUAAAAAUACAUUUGCAUUUGCAAUCAAUAAAAAAAGAAAUAUUUAUGUGCAAAUGUAACAAAACACAUAGACCACUUCUAUGCUGAAAUCUACGUAAUGCUAAUGAAAGAAAUAAAUGAAGUAAAUAAACAAAGAAAUAUACACUUUUCAUGCAUUGGAAGAGUCAGCCUUGUAAAGAUGUCAAUUCACUUUCCAUUGACGUACAGGUUGACUGUAAUUUCUAAUAAAAGCCCAGAAUGAUUUUUUUGAACUAUAGACAAGUUUAUUCUAAAAUUUCUUUGAAAAUUUAAAAUACUAGAAUAGAUAAAUCUAUUUUCAAAAAGAAGAAUAAACUGAGAGAAAUCAGUCUACCUAUUUUCAAGACCCAUUGGAUAGCUACAGUAAUCAAGACUGUGAUAGUAGCACAGAAAUAGAUGAAUGGAACAGAAUACAGAACCCAGAAAGGCCUGUGCAAAUACUGUCACCUUAUCUAUGACUAAGUUUCAAAAGCAACUCAAUAGAGAAAAGAUAAACUUCUCAACAAAUUUUGCUAGAGCAAUUGAACAUUUCUGGAGAGACAAAAAAGAUAAUUAACCUUAACCCAAGUUUCACACCUUACACAAAUCAAUCUUAGAGCUAAAAUGUAAAAUGUACAACUGUAAAAGUUUUAGAGAAAAGAAAGAUAAAAUAUUUGAGAUCUAAAGCUAAGGGAAGAGUUGUUAGACAACACCAAAAAGCAUGAUUCAUUAAAAAAACACAAAAAUUUGACUUUAUUAAAACUAGAAGUUUUGCUCUAUGAAAGACCCUGUUAAAAGAAUGAAAAGACAAUUUAAAAAGUAGGAGAAAAUAUAUGCAGACUACAUAUAGAAAAAAGGACUAGUAUCUGAAAUAUAUUUUUUGAAAGCUAUCAAAACUCAACUGUUAAAUUCUAAACAAUCCAAUUACAACAUGAGCAAAACACAGAAAGAAACACUUUCCCAAAGACAUACUGAUGGCAAAUAAAGACAUGAAAACAUGUUCAACAUCAUCAAUAGGUCAACGCAAAUUAAAAUCACACUGAGAUAUCACUCUAUGCCUAUUCAAAUGGCUAAACAAAAAAUAGCAUCUAUAACAAAUGACGGCAAGGAUGCAGAGAAAAUGGAUCCUCACAUUGCUGUUGGAAACGUGACUUGGUACCACCAGCAUUACCACUAGAAAGCAUUUUGGCAGUUUCUUUAAAAAUUAAACAUGUAACUAUCACAUGACAUAGCAAUUUCACCCUUGCUGGGGGCAUUGAUCCCAAAUAAAUAAUCUUUAUUUUACUGCUAGUGAUGUGUUAAUGUUUCCUGUUGUUAACAUGUUCCUAUUUCUUCUCAAUCUCUGGUAUUUUCUUUUUUGUAUAUGUAAUUAAUGUGUAUUUGUGAGAAUAUGUGGGUAUUUGGGCAUAUUUAAAGCACUGAUGAUCAUAAUUGUUGUAUAACCAUUCUGAAUUGUUUUUAUUACUAAUCAUAGUCUUUUUCUCAUUUACUGCUUUUCAUCUGAACUAUAUUUGUUCCGAUAUAAAAUUCUCAAUCCGUGUUUUUUUAUUGUUUCAUUUGCCUGUCGGGUUUUUGUUCAUCCCUCUGUUUUUAGUCCUUUCGAAUCACUGUUUUAGGUGUGUUCCCUAAGACUGGGUUUACCUUGAUAAACCACUCUGAAAAUCUUUGUUGUGAAUUAUUAAUAGUAAAACACACUCAUGUUUAUUGAUGACA